UUUCUUUGCUAGGGGGGGCUGGGGAUGAUUUGUUUAAAGAGCUAUGGAGGCUGUGCAGGGCCAUUAAUGGAUGUUCCUUGUGUUCAAGACAGAGUUUUCUAUUUCCCUCAUGGUCACAUUGAAUUGUUGCCAGAACCUACAGAACAAGAUUUGAGGCAGAUGAAGAACCAGAAAUCUCCCAAAUACGAUCUUCCGUCGAACAAGAUAUUUAAAGAACAAGAUUUUUUUCUCUUCUAUCAGAAGGUAUUUUCUGGCUGAAAUUGAGGGACCUAAGCAAAAAUCUGAUUCAGAGGCUGAAAAAAGACUGUAGAUGCUGUUGGAUUCUGACCCUGCUGCAUUCGAAAUAUAUUUUCUGGAGCCACAGAAGCCCAAUAGGCGCGCUCUCAAUUGCGUUGGAAAGUAGACAUCCUGGGAUUUCCAGCAAUACAUAAUAGUCCAUACUUUUCCCGAGAUUUGAUGGCCCAAACUGGCGUUCAAAGACA